AAUAAAAAGCUACAAAAUGCACGUUCAAUGUGUCAUAUUAGUGUCACACUGAUACAUCUGGUGAGUUCAUUAGAUCAAAAUCAUACUUGUUUACAUAUUAUAUGGUUAGUUUUUUUCGAAUUGGUGAANNNNNNNNNNNNNNNNNNNNNNNNNNNNNNNNNNNNNNNNNNNNNNNNNNNNNNNNNNNNNNNNNNNNNNNNNNNNNNNNNNNNNNNNNNNNNNNNNNNNNNNNNNNNNNNNNNNNNNNNNNNNNNNNNNNNNNNNNNNNNNNNNNNNNNNNNNNNNNNNNNNNNNNNNNNNNNNNNNNNNNNNNNNNNNNNNNNNNNNNNNNNNNNNNNNNNNNNNNNNNNNNNNNNNNNNNNNNNNNNNNNNNNNNNNNNNNNNNNNNNNNNNNNNNNNNNNUGGAAAUUCAGUAGGUGUUAUUUGUUGAGAACAAUUGGAAAGAAAUUGGUGUUGGUAGAUCAUAGAGUGAAACACUAUUACUAGACUCAUGUUUAUCAUAUUUCAGUUCGAUUUGAGCGGAAUUGUUAGCUUAAAUUGAUAAUGUCGUGUACGUGUUNNNNNNNNNNNNNNNNNNNNNNNNNNNNNNNNNNNNNNNNNNNNNNNNNNNNNNNNNNNNNNNNNGUUAAUAAUUCAGAUGUAAAAUAUUUGAAUAUAAUUGCACCGUACAAAUAAAUACAUAUAUAAUAUUUAAGAUAUCUCGAGCAUUUUUCCACUAGAUGGAGCGUAAAAUUUAAAUCCCAAAGAAUUUCAAUAAUUUGGAGCUUUUAGCUGCCAUUGUUAAGAAAAUUUAACAAGCAGUAAAAGUUAAUAUUUUAAAGAAACAAAAACAGAAUUAUCCAGAAAUUGGUAAAUCCCUUCGUCAAGAGUUGGAAAGUCUAAUUAUGACAAGUCAUUAGGUUCCAGGGUUAAUUAAACAAAUCCAUAGUUAAUGCUGAAGGUUAAUGACAUUUGACCUCGUCCUUCUUAACUCCAAUUAAACAACGAAAAUUCAACCCUCUAAUUAAUCAACCCCAAAACCAAACAAAAUGUAGCCACAGAAUAUAGGAGUCCAGCACUUGUGCUCCACAUUUAAUCCAAAAAAAAGCUGAGUCAAAAGUUCGAGAGUGACCGGCUGAUCCUCCACGGCCACCCGUUCAUUUUUUUCUCCGGCGAAGGGUGGUGUUUUUAUUUAUUACAAAGCCAGGUCAGCUUGCGGUGGCUAAAUUUUGUCCCUACUUUAAUUGAAUGAAUUAUUUGGGAAGCUCGUCGUCGGCACUUCCAUGUAAUCGUGACUAGGCUCUUAAUUAAUAUCAUGAUUACUAGUUUGCCUAUAACUUUGGUUUCCUGGUCCAGUUGUGUUAAAUGUCGCUUUCUUAAUUUUCCAUAAUUUAAGGAAGAACCCAUCUAAUUAAGAUUGGAGGUUAAAAUGAAUUUAACGUAGUUUCAUAUUCACACUCGAAAAUGUGUCUAUAACCAAACUUGAUGAUGGUUAUGGAUAAUCAUCUCCUUGAUGAGUUAUGCAUUCAUACUCACAAUAGUGUGGUAUCAGGAUAAUUGGAGAAAGCUACUCACAAGUAGAUUAAUCUGACGAGUCGAUGUGUCUGUAAUACAAUUAAACUGUGAUCCUGUGAGUUCGUAAUUUGACUAACCUGAUUCGUGACUCGCCCAUCCAAUCCGUUUGACAGUUCUACUCAAAAGUGCAAUAGCAAAUUUUCAAGUUUAUAGUGAGUUUGAAAGUUACAUUUGGCGAAAUUAAACAACACACUAGAAAAGAUAUUUGAUUUUGAAAAUUUUAUAUAGGAUUUUGUUAAUUUGGAACCGAAAGAUUCUAGUCGAUAGUUUAGAUUCGUCCACCUCUGAUUCCACCAUUGCAUAUUAGGGGAUAAGGAUGAAAUUUGGACGGAUUAGAGACUGUGUGAAUUUUGAUGAAGCUGUCUUUUACCUAACUAGAAAGAGAAUAUCCGGUAAUGAAAUAACAUCCGAUAAUAUUUCGCACAUAAUAACGUAGGAAAAUAGAGAGUGUCUGAAAAUGAUGGACACGUUUAACGAGACAACAUCCAGCAAUAUUUCUUACAUAAUAACGUAGGGGAAAUAAAAAAUGGGAAUAAGUUUGAGACCCAAUAAAAGCAUAAUACAUUGAACGAGUAGAAAAAUUGGGAUAUGUAAAAGAGGAAUUAUUAUUGGGUGUUAAUAGGAGAGUAGAGCUGUAUGAUUUCCACAUGCAAAACCCAGCACAGACAUCACAUGAUGAUGCACUUGCAUUGCACCUACGGCAGCUGUUAUUAACGUUACUCCUAGCUAACUAUUUUGGCAUCUUAUUCAUUAAUUAAUGUAAUUAUCUGUGUCUCUGCUGGUUUAUUUACUAAAAUUAUAGGUCCGAAUGCAUUCAUCACAUCUUAACCUUAGGUAUGUGCCUGCUUUGAUGGACUAUCUGAUUAUGCUCAUCAAAAUGCUACUAGAAUCAUAUAAGAUAUCGAUUUUGAUCUGCAAUCUUUCAACAAUUUAAUGAUUUGUACAAGUAUAACUAUAUAUAUUAGCCGAGAAGUUUGCGAUUUUAUUUUCGAACAAGCUCAUAAGUCAUAUAUCUGUUUCUUCGAACCACAGUAGAGCUAACUGGGUUUACAUCAAAAUUCACAGGGCCUCAAAUGGAGUAGUGGGUGUUGUGAAAAUUUACAAAAUUAAUAUACAAUAUACAAGAUUUCAAGAGACUCAAGUGAACUAAUAUUUGAGAAAAGAAUUGGCUCUUCGCAAUAACUUAUAAACACAUACGAUUGAUUAAUAAUAAAUAAAACUAAACACCUACGGUGUCGGCCACAUUAACAGUAUAAUUAACAUGGAAUUAGCAGUCGCAAACUGGAUACAAAUACAAGCCACAUGGGUCUGCGCCAAGUGUCCGACCCAAACCUACCGUCGACUUGGCAGUAUGCAUUUGUCAUGAAGCUAGAGGCCAAAAUUCAAGAGCUUUGAUUGAAUAUUAAUUAUACAAAAUUUGAAAAUAUUAAUCUCAGAAGAACCCAGAUGUGAAAUAUAUAGAUCGGACACAUGGGCCAAUAUAGUCCCUGAAUUAAUUUAUUUUUUUAAAAUUUAAUAAAUCACCGUAGAACUAAUAUUAGUCGGUUGAUGGAGGAGGAAUAGUUGAGGAGAUUAGCCACAAAGUCGUAAUUUGUUGGGUCGUAAUUGAGGGAUUAAGGGGGGCCAUAGACACGUGUCUUUUUGCUUCAUGUCACUAGUUAGCCACAUGGCGGAAGAAAGGUGGUGGAAAUGUUUUUCAUUCUUGUCACAAAUUUAAUAAAUAAUGUGUACUUUUCGGCUUCAAUAAUGAGUAUAAUUAAGGCACUUUUUCGGGUCAUUAAUGAUUAGUGUUUCUGGGUUUAUGCCCUCCACAAUCGUUGUAAUUCAUAUUCAUUGUAUGUGGUGUCAAAGUGUUAGCCUCAUCUUAUUCGAUAUCGAUCAUUGUUCUCUUAUAUGAAUUUUUAAUAAUUUGUAGGUUUUAUUUUUUUUUAUGGAUAACUUAUAACGGAUUAUCGAGUUAUAUAGACAAAUGAUGUACGAAUCAAGAGAUGACAUAAUACGAUCAAAUUGUCAUCACCUCUCCUUGUCAAAGUUGUCAAGAACGAAUAUACUUAAUACUUUUUAUAAGAAUUUCAUAUAAUGUUUUAGGAGAAUUUGAUCAAUCUUCAGUUGUGAUAAAUGGAGGCAAUAAUGGGACAGUGAAGGACGUGGGAGACCCUGACAAAUAUUUCAAGUUUGAGGUCUAUUAUUGCAAUUGUUUAGUGUCUAUUAUUGAAAAAUGCAUGCAGUAGUUCCACUGUAACAUAUCGGAUCAAGAUCUGCCCAUACUCUUCAAUUAUUUCCAUAUAAAAUAUUAUUAAUUAAUUCAGACUUUUACAAAUUUUAUGGGUUGUUUUUAUUUGUGGGAAUUUGAUUCUACUAGUUUCUGUGAAUCAAUCAUCCCUUUCUCGAUUAUCAACCAGAGAUGAGAUUGAUGGGAAAUGCUGAUUUUUAAUUUUCAUAAUUAAGCAAGAAAAUGUGACCACAUAAAAUGUGGUGGAUUCUCAGCCAUCAUUACAAAGAUUGCACCUUCCAUCUAAUAAUUUAUAGAUUAGGGUACUAAGAUAGGUUUUUUUUUCCAAAAUGAACUGCACGUUUCAUAGGAAACAAGAUCACAUAACUGCUUAUUAAGGCUCUUCUGUGACCGGCGGGCAACUCUCCGUCGAUUGGUACAAUCGUGGGUUCGGGUUGGCUAGUCGUGACGAUAUCUUGACUCUCCUCCACGUUUUCUCUACAACGAGUAUGAAGCAUCGGUCCAAGGAUUCCUAGCUCCUUCGAGAACGUAACAUUAUCAAUUUGUUAAGAAAGGUGGUGAUGUCUCCUUCGGAAUUAUGGUCGUUGUUUAAGAAGAUAGUGGUCGUUGCUUUUACUUAUAAUGUUGCAGGUGGUUUGGUUUCUAGACAUGGGCAAGCAGUUUUGGGGAACUCAAAACAGUUGAGAAGACUUGAGAAAUGUAGUUAGAAUGGCAAAAAUGAGUGUCAACGACGCAAUUUUCGUUGUAUGUUAUUUUCUUCAUUAGCUAUGAACAUAAAUAUCAACCAAAUUGGCUAAGUUUUAGAAUUUGUGUUGGAAAUAAGUAGAUUUUUUAGUUUUAUUAUAUCAACCCUUUAAAUGGUAGUCAAAUGUAAAAUUUAAAAAUUGAGGUUUUAUCAUGUUAAAUCCUUCAAAUAAUAGCCAAAUAAAGUUUUAUUUUUUUCAAUAUGUUAAAAUAACAUAAAAUAAAAUUGAUUUUUAACUACGUAUGAUCCUUAUUUAUAGGGGUUACCAUAAUGAAACUUGAUUUUUUAUUCAUUCCCAACAUGCUUGUCAAAUAUUAACCGAUUUAAAAAAUUUCAAUUUUCAUGUCAAAAUUGUCAAUUUCCAAAUGAGUUAACGUGUGGAAAUUGAUCAUUUUUACAAGAAAAUUUAAAAAAUUUCAAAUCGACUAAUAUUUAACAUGAAUGUUUGACGUUAAAAAUAUUUUUCAACAUGCUAAAAUAAUACAAAGUAAAAUUAAUUUUUAACUACGUUUGAUCAUUAUUUAUAGGGGUUAUCAUAAUGAAACUUGAUUUUUUAUCUAUUUCCAACAUGCAUUUCAAAUAUUAAUCGAUUUGAAAUUUUUGGAAUGCGCGUUGGAAAUGGUUAGAAAAUCAAGUUCCACUAUGUUACACCCUCUGAUUUUAACUAAAUGAAGUAAAAAGUGUAUUAUUUUAUGUAUGUUUACGAGUUUUUCAUAUGUAUAUUAGACAUUAGCUAUGUAUAUUGAGUUUAACUAACUUUUUUUAUGUUCGAUAUACAAAUUGAAAAGGUCUUCAAUUUCAAACUCGGAUCAUGUGGAUUUUAUGUGUGUUAAGCGGUGGCCCAAAUAUGCCCGGCCCCAGUUUCGCCACUGGUUGUAACUAUGUAAACCAGCAAAGUGUUGUUUAUUUCCUUUCGUUCCCCUAUAUAUAUGCAUCCAUUUUUCAAAAGUGUUGGUUGUUGGAUCAAGAAGAAGUGCAUAAAGCGUAGACUUGGGGGUAGAAAGCAGACACUGAUCAAAUGAUUCAGUCAGAUCCAUCAUUUUUUCAAAAGUGUUGGUUGUUGGAUCAAGAAGAAGUGGAUAAAGCCUAGACUUGGGGACAGGAAGCAGACACUGAUCAAAUGAUUCAGUCAGAUCCAUCAAGAGCUAACCUAGCUAAACAUGAUGAAACAGUGUUUGUUCAUGCAGCAAAGUUUAGACCUGAAAUGGAUGAUGAACUUGUAACUAGCAAACGCUAAUCUGCUGCAACUCCUUGCUGAGUAAGGGCUGAUUACACAUUUUGUGAAAAAAAACCAAUUUGCGAUGAGCGCGGAUCACACACGCGACCUUCAAAUCUCCAAUCUGACGUUCUCCCAACUAAACUAUCUCCACUAUAUAUUUUGUGUACUCACGCUUCAUUUCUCAUAGGUUACGGAAAGCUCAUCAAGUGUAAAUUAUUUGGUGGUGAAAUGAACAUGUUUAAUGGCUUAUUAAUAGAACAUCUCUGCUCAAAGAGUGUUGCACAUUGCCUUAGGUUUUACACGAUUGACUGAGUUCAUAUAAUAUUAGCAUUCAUUGUUUGGAAUAAUCUCUAUUUUGCAAGUGGAACAUGAAACAUCACUAUGGGUCACGAGGACAAUACAUACACAACAAAAAUUCUUUUCUGAAUAAUGUGUUCAUAUGCGAUUUAUAGGAAUUGUUUGUUUUUUUAGCUUCACAAGUUUCAAAUUCAGCUAAAGAUGGACUCGUCACAAGGUUUUAAUUAGUAAAGUUCGAGUUGGGCUCAAGUAUGGCCUGUUAAGGAUAGUUAACAUAACACCUUAGGAAAAUAUCACAUUGGCAAAAGACGAAAGAGUUCCAUAAGUAACAAUCUAACCUUAAUAAACAAGAUGUGGUUUUGGGUGAAAUGGAUGAGCUCUUGUAACAAUUUCAAAAUUAAAUGUACUUAUGUGAGAGCAUUAUGGAUAGGUCACCUUCUGCACCCAAAAGUAAAUCCAUGAGAGACCUAAACCCAUGACAUCUUGUCAAAAAAUAUCAAGAUCUUGUCAUUAUGGAAGCACAAUAGAUUGGUCUUCAAAUCUGUGAAAGGCCUACACCCAUAAGUCAUAACGGACAAUACCUUGUCGAAAAAUGUUAAGGAUAUUACCAUUAACGCGGUAAACUUAAAUAAGCUCGAGCUGGACACGAGCUAAAAUCUUCUAAGUCGAACUCGCUCUAAAAAUAAGGCAAAUCCAAACCCAUCCUUCAUUAGUUAGUUUGUUCUAGUGUUUAAUGACUAAUGUAAGGUCAACGUGAUUAAUCUAAGUCCACACAAUUACUGCCUUCCUUCUUAUUACAUGGGGUUAUUUUUAUUUACUUAUUAAUGGCCGAUUAAGGCGUUAAUGGUCUUAGAUUUGAUAUCCCCGUAAUUCACUGCUACCUCACAUCCAUAAAUUUCUGGGCACCACCCUUUCGAACUACACCAACCUCCGUAUAAAGAGCAAAGAACAAAUUAAACAAUAUAUUCAGACACCAUGAUUAUUACCGCCACUACAAUAACGAAGCUUCUCCCCUUCUAAAUUCAUCCUCCUCCCCUGUUUCACCCCACCUUUCAAGUUUGCUACAUACUCCAAUGGCGUCCAUACCCAUUUCCCUUCUUCCUCUUCUCUUCAUCGUCAUCCUCCUAUCCCUUUCAUUCAAUCCGGCCAUCUCCCAAGAAUCAUCCAAGUCCAGAAAAGAACGAGCCGGAUCAUCUUCAGACUCAAAACCCCAUUCAUCCCCGCCGCUCGACUGCACGAACCGUUGGAUCCACAUCCGGCGGUUACCAACAAGAUUCAACAUUGAUCUCCUCGCCAACUGCUCCGUCUACGGCGACCUCUUCUACGACUUCUGCCCUUUCCUUUCCAUCCACGGCCUCGGACCCAAAACCCACAACCGAUCCCACUCAUGGUACCGAACCGACCCGUUCCUCCUCGAGCUGACCUUCCACCGCCGGAUGCUCGAGUACCCGUGUCUGACCCGCGACCCGAAUCAGGCCGACGCCGUCUAUCUACCCUACUACGCGGCAACCGAUUCCCUAAGGUAUCUCUACGGUCCCGAGGUUAACAAUAGUAUGGACCACGGAUUGGAUCUGUUCGAGUUCUUGCAGGAGAACGAAGGGUGGAUCUGGAGGAAGAAUUCUGGAUCGGAUCAUUUUCUAGUGAUGGCCCGACCCGCCUGGGAUUUCUCCCAGCCCCCGGAUCUUGAUCCGCCGGGUUGGGGGACUUCGUUCUUAGAACUUCCUGAGUUCUACAAUCUGACGGCGUUGGUGGUUGAGUCGAGGUUGUGGGCUGGGCAGGAACAGGCGAUUCCUUAUCUGACGUCGUUUCAUCCCCCCAAUUUGGAGCUUUUGGAUUCCUGGAUUAAUCGGGUUAAGGCUUCCAGGAGGACUACGUUGAUGCUGUUCGCCGGCGGCGGAGGGGUGUCGGCUCAGGCCAAUAUACGGAGGAGCAUUAGGGAUGAGUGUGAGAAUAGUAGUAGCGAGGCGUUCGAGAGCAAUGGCGGGUGGUACUAUUACUCGAAAGUAUGCGACAUUGUUGAUUGCUCGAAUGGGAAAUGCGGGCAUGAUCCGAUCUUGUACAUGAGGCCGAUGUUGCAGUCCACGUUCUGCUUGCAGCCUCCAGGGGAUACGCCAACGAGAAGGUCGACGUUUGAUGCGAUAAUCGCGGGAUGCAUACCGGUGUUCUUUGAGGAUCAAUCGGCGAGAAUGCAGUACGGGUGGCACUUGCCAGAGGACGAGUAUGGGGAGUUUGCAGUGCAUAUUCAGAAGGAGGAUGUGGUGAAUAAAGGGUUGAAGAUUUUGGAUGUGUUGAUGGGGAUUCCUAGGGCUAGAGUUAGGAGGAUGAGGCAGAAAGUUGUUGAGUUGAUCCCAAAGGUUGUUUACAGGAAGCAUGGGAGUUCAGCUGAGCUGAGAGCUCACAAGGAUGCUUUUGAUAUUGCAAUUGAUGGAGCUCUGGAGAGGAUUAGGUCUAGGGUCAAACGUGAAGACUUUUCUGGUUUGAUCAUGAAAUAAUGGAAAGGUCUCUCCUUUUUUGCUUCAUUGUUGUUGUAACAUUACUGGUUUUUGGUUUUUGGUUUUUGGUUUUAGUAAGGUAGGAAAGUAGGGAGCUUUGUGGUUUCUGCCUCCAUUGUAAGUAUAACAAGUUUCAGAUUUGGACAGAAAAGAAUGGAACUUUUAUUUUAGGAUUAACAAAAAUUCAAUUGUUACAUCAGAAAACUAACAAAACCGGAUGUUACAGGGAUUUUCUGCUCUACUCUUUGUCAGUCAAGACAUUGGUGGUUUUGAGAAAAUUAAUGAAAGAAACUUCACAGAUAUAUCAUUUCAACCCCAUCUGAUGAUUGCAGAACCCCAAGUUAGACCAGCUCCAAAUCCAGCUGCUGCAAUUUUAUGGCCUGGCUUCACCUUGCCACAUCGUACAGCUUCAUCCAAUGCCAAGGGAAUGGAAGCUGCACUUGUGUUACCGUAAUUUGCCAGAUUCGAUAUCACCCUUUCGGAUGGAAGCUUCAGGCGAUCUGCAACUGAAUCGAUUAUCCUUUUGUUCGCCUGCAAAGGUAGAAACUGCAAAGUGAGCAAUCCAUUCCGUGUCUCCGAAACAAUUGCAUUACCCAGAAAGUUAUGUACCUGAUGCAGUAGCAACCAAUCUAUGUCAGCUGCCGUAAUGCCAGCCUUUUCGAGGGAGGAUUCUAUGGUCUCGGGCACACAUUGUACAGCAAAGCGAUAAACCUCUUUCCCAUUCAUGGUAACGUAUGAAUAUGAGGAGCGUCUCGGAGGGAAGUCUUGAACCGAUCCGUUAGAACCCAAUGCAUGAUCCGCUUCGUUUUUCUGGAUUGACGCACUUAAAUGUCUGGAGCAUUGGAUUGUAAUAAGAUCACAUAUCUAAGAGGGUAAAUAUAAGACUAGCGUCAUUCUGAACGAAAAAUCCAGCUGACAUUACCUCUGGCCGUCACCGUCACUAUGCAGGUCAAAGCUAAACAAACCAUCAUCCUCACUGUCACAUGCCUGCAGAUUACAACAUAUGUCAAACAGGGAAAAUUGGCAACCACAUUAGAUCGAUCGUCAAAAUAUUGCUUCAGAAGUUUUUAAGUACCUGUACCAACACAGCACCAGCAGCAUCGCCGAAGAGGAUACAAGAUCCUCUAUCUGUCCAGUCCACAUAUCGCGAAAUGGCAUCAGCACCAAUGACUAAAACAUUUUUAAAUCCACCUCCUGUAAAACAUAGUUAGGGAGAUACAUUUAAUUGAACCAAACCGGAUGGAUGGGGACGAAGAGUGGCAAAAGUAGAGCUAGAGAAGAAACAUUACCCCUAAUGUGACAAGAAGCAGAAAUCAACCCCAAAAGGAAUCCACUACAUGCAGCUGUUAUGUCAUACGCCAAAGGAUUUCCUUUGCAUCCAAGCUGCUUUUGAAUCUGAGGAUCCAAAGAAGAGAAAGAAUAAGAUAAAACCCAGGUAACAGUCUGAAGAAAUGUGCAGUUUCUUAAGGUUUAACUGCAUCUUUUGAAAUUUGAUCUUCCAAAUAUGUUCUUAAACAAGAAUGUACCUGAGGAGCACUGCCGAAAAGAUCGUCUGGUGUAGAUGUGCACAACAAGAUCAUAUCCAGAUCAUCAGGAUCAACCUUUGCCAUCUCUAGUGCUUUCCUUGCUGAUUCUGCUGCUAAAGAGACCAGGGUUUCUUUUCCUAUAAGCAGAAACGUGCAAGAAUCAUGUAAAGAGCUUUCAUUUGUUCAAUGAAAUCCAGGGAAAUUUCAGUGCAUGUGGAACUUCACCCAUACACAAAGUGUCUCAAAAGGCGCCUCAUUGAUUCAGACAAAGUAUGCAUAACUAGUUAUAGACUCUGCAAGAAUCUCUCAUAUCUACCUAUGCAAAAUUGACAAUCAGAGCACAUACAUCUUCAAGAACACACUAUUCAAUAUCUCUGCUUUCCCUUCUAAAUUCUCACACACACCGCUCUCCUUUUUCCAUAAAUAUUCAACUGAAGCAUUAAAUUACCAAAAUGGAUUCUGAAAAACCAACCUGUAAGAACUCGUCGAUUAUGAAUCCCCGUACGAUCUGAUAUCCACUUAUCAUUAGUGUCAACCAGUUUAGCAAGAUCAUCAUUUGAUAUCUGAAGUUGUGGAACCGCUGAGCCGCAUCCUAUAAGUUUGCAGCCUUGACUAACAAGCCUGCAUAAUACAAGUGUGCUCAACGGAAUGAAUGUAGCAGUGAAUCAAUUACAUGGCAUUACUAGCACAUCACAUGAAUUUCAAUUUCUCAAUGCAUAUAAAAUAGCACAAUGCAUACACAAAAUGAAAAUCCGCCAAUAUCAUUUAGCAUUAGCAAAGUCAGCUAAUCAUAAAACAUGACAUUAUGUGCACGACUCUUUUAACUACCAUACUAACCAUAAAGCACACACCUUUCACCUAUCUGAAUUACUAACAAUGUAAAGGUAGCUACAACACUCAAGAUCCACCAACAUCCAUUCUAGAGAAAUGAAGAAAAGCAGAACACUGACUGACCAGGGCAUUCGAGCUCCAGAAAGGGAAGAAGUGUUCAUGUCAGAACCUUGAACAGCGCUGGAGCAGAAAAAAACCCCCUUUCGGAAUCCCUUAAUAGAGCUAAACCCAGAUCCACUGAUCCCUACAGAGGGCUUUAACUUCCUUCCCAAGCCUGGAACCGAAGGACCAACGAAACUAGACACAUUGGCCAUUCACUGAACUCUUCAAUACAGCACCGAGCAGACACCCUGAUUACCUUUUAACACUAUGCUGUGAAAGAAAAAAAGAGAGUCAACUGAGAAAAGGGACAACAAGAACGGCGACAAGUCUGAUGGAAUUGGGAAGAGAUGCCAUAUGGGUUUGGUGAAACCCAACAGAGGGAACCCCAAUUGCUAUAAAGAGGGGAGGGUGAAGGUGGGUGGGGGAUGAUCUUUGGAAACUCCGAAGAAACCCAAAGAGAAGAGAGAAUCAAUAAUGAAUGGGUGGAGGGUGGGCGACGCUGCCUACGACCCGAUUUUCAGGAAUUCUCUACCGUUAUGCACUCAAGUGUGGGGCAAAUUUGGUUCAUUGCUUACGGUGUUUGAUUUUGAGAGUGACGAAAUAUCAUAUACAAUUUUCCAAGAUUGAAAACAAUAAUGUCUAGUGUGUGUUACCAAUUACAAAUAGGGCUUAAUUUAUCGUAUUAGUGUGUAAUUUUAAACAGUGGAAUUUCCUUUUUUUGUUAGAAAUAUGAAAUACGAGAGAAGGAAUAAUCAUUAAAUAAAUAUCGUUUGUGAGUUGUAACUAUAUUUGAACUUUAUAUUUUCAAAUUAGAGGUGGAUGGAUAGUGUAAUCGUCGCCGCCUGGCCCAGACAGACAGGAUGGCGAUAGCUCCACCAUCGUCUGCCUACGCUUUUCAUAUCCAAACCUUUUUUUGGAUUUUAUACAUGAUUCGGAGUAGAGGGUUGUCGGAUGCUUCGCUUUCCCGUUCAACUUCUGAACAUUGGAGAUUGAAAGUGUUUGAAUUCUUCUUGGAUUGAAGAUGAGUGUUGUGUUGGAGUUUGUUGUAUUAUAUAGACGAAAGGAUAAUUACGUAAAAUUGGACUGUGAAAAUUUGAAAUGUAAACAAGACUAGAUAGGAUAAGGACUUUUAUUUCUUCAAAUUCAUUGCCUCCAUGCUAGUGCAAAUGCAAAACCCCAACCCAGCCGAUAGCCUUAAAACUUAAAAGCUCCGUCAGAAUGAUAUUAUUGAUGAUCAUCAUCAAGAUUUCACGACAUUGCUCUUCACUGGUAUCAACCACAACCCACAUUUUCGUCGAACCGUAACCCCGAAUGCCUCCGUCACGUCCAAAUCUUCAGCCUUCAUCCCACCGGGGAGCUUCCAAUCAAAAUGAUAAAGCAAGUCAGCAAGCACAAGCUUGACAACAGCGGAUGCGUAGAGCAUUCCAGGGCACAUCCUUCUUCCCGACCCAAAAGGAAUAAGCUCGAAAUCCAUACCCUUGUCGUCAAUCGAACGGUCCAGAAACCUUUCGGGGUAGAAUUUGUCAGGCUCGUCCCAGUAACGACCAUCUCUCCCAAUCGCCCACCCGUCGAUGAUGACUUUGGUGUUGGCUGGGAUCACAUACCCUUCGAUUUCGACCGUCUCGCGGCUCUCUCUAGGGAGGAGCAAAGGCAGCGGCGGGUGUAGCCUUAAGCUUUCUUUAAUUACCAAGUCUAAGUAUUUCGAUUCAUGGAUGCUUGCUUCAUCCACAGUGGCUUUCCCAGAGUACACUCGUCUAACUUCUUCUUGUGCCUUCUGCAGUACUCUGUUGUCUUUCAUCAUUUCAGCCAUUGUCCAUGUAGCGUUUCCUCAUGUAGCGUCGAUAGAUGUAAUUUCAGAGUUAAAAAAAGUCUAUAGAUUUAAGAACAUCAUCAUGCACUAUUACCCUGAUAAGUUUGCAGCUCUAGACGAGCCGAAUCGAGCUGAGUUUUGUCAGCUCGAGUUCGGCUCGUUCAUUGGAAAUAGCACCUUUGAGUUUGUAUAAUCGAGCUAGAGCUCGGCUCGUCAAAAUAAUUGUUAGCUCGAGCUUUGCUUGAAAUCGGCUCGUUUUCAAUUCUUAACAAUCCAAGUUAAAGUUCGAGCUCAACUCGGAUAAGCUUAUAAAAAGUACAAGAUUCUAAAAUGGACACGCCUCGUAUAGUCUAAAUAAGUAACUAAUCGUUAGGAUAACAUCAUUUAUCAUCACAUUACUGUUUGUGAAAUAAAAUGAGGAUAUUUAAACCUUCAAAAUGUAUAAAAUUGAUGCACGGUCUACACUAAUCGAGCCAACGAAUUUUCGAGCCUUAAUUGAGCCUACUCGUAUCAACUUUCAAGAAGCCCAUACUAGCAUUGUAACUGUAAUAGGCCAGGCCCUGACUAGCAUACUUUUGGCCCCGUAAAAUCAUUCAUAGUGCUUUCAAACUAAAGGCAAAUAUCCCCACCACGUAAGUAGCAUGGCAUGGAUCCACCCACAGGCCACAACAGUGAUUUGUUUCCUAUUGCAACUUGUCAAAGUUAAAAUAUCCCCACCACAUAUUCAACACACAUAAAAGUAGCUCAUUGAAUUUCGAGCAUGACUCACAACAUGAAUUCUAAAGGGACCUUUCCCUACUAUCACAGUUGAAAAAAUUCAACUUCAAUGAUUAUCAUACGAUACAUUACAAAAGUACACAGAUUGACAAGGUGGAACCAAGAACCCCCCCCAUUGGUAUGUACAUUAGACAAGAGUACACAAUUACAUGUACUCGUAUAAAUGUACUUACAAGCAUAGAGUUACUAUAGCGCAUUGAGUAACUAGAAAGGUGAGAGAUGGAUGGAUGGAUGGAAUGUGUUGGUUAGGAGAGCAGUAAAUCAGGAAAGUUGAGUGGGGACAAUGAAAUCUUAUGAGAAGAUUCUCCUAUUUCAAGUAUCAACAUACAAAGCUCACGCUUCCUUCCAGAUUUAGGGUUCCCUAAUCUACUCAAAUUACUUCUCCACCCUACUUUUGGUCCGUUGUUUUGUCGGUGUUAUUAGGCCUUUUCACCUGAAACAUAAGUUUAAGUGAUGAGGAUUUUCUUCACACUUAUAAGCAAAAUGCAGUCGCGUCCUUUCCACUCUCCAAUGUUGAAUAACCUAAUAAGUUUCCCUUCACACAUCGAUCGCUCGGUAUGCAUUGCCCAUCUAUCGACUCUAACUGAGUAGUCACUAUCGGUAGGACCGGUCUGAUACCACAAUAAGGUGUUAUUAUUGGACUUCUCACCCCUAAAUCUAGCUGAAAUAGUGAAAUAACUCAACAAUAGAUGAAGCAUGCACCUUGGUUGGAGAUGGCUAGCUAGCAGGGCUGAGUUCCGUCUAGGUCUAGUGGAGGAGUGAUGAGCAAUAAAGAAGGUGGGAAGCCAACCCAGCCCAGAAAGAAAGUGAUGAUCAUUAAUUCGUAUGUAUGCAGUGGUGUCUAAUCUUUGUAGGAUUGUCAGAAGAUCUUGGUAUUCCUUAUCAUGAAUUGACCCAGCCUUUAAAACUUUGUUCGUUUCCCGUAAAAUAUUUGUUGGUACGUUGCAACCAGCCAUAUCCAUGAUUUUGUUUGUUCUUUUGUUGCUUUUGGGUUUUGGGGUUCAUAUAUAUCCACCCAUUACUUCUCUGUCCUAUUGAUUCUCCCAUAUAUAUGAAACCAACUCUUCUUUUGUACCUAGAAAUAGGGGUGGAAAUUGAUUUAUGAUUAGUGGUUAUAAUCGCUAAUUAUAUUAUAAAUUAUGAUUUUUGGUUAACUAUCUACCAUAUUGUGGUGAUUUUACUACACCAUUGUGUGUGGACUGUGGACGAUGAUUUAUUAUAGAUUAACUAAUUCAACUACCCCAUUAGUUGCUUUUUCAUGUAUCAACAAUACCAACAAAACAGUUCUCCAAGUAAUUUGGACAUUUUUGUUGUUUUCAUUGGUCUUUUAUGGUCCGUUUAUGGAUAUCGGUUGGUAUAUAAUAUCUGAAAUGGAUUAGACUGCAUACAUAUUGUAUAUUAUAUUGUUUUAUAUACGAAGACUCUUUGGACGGACACCAUAUUUAGUUAUCGGGUAAAUUUUAGGGUUGGCAGUCAGUUUAGGUGAAACCGUGAUGCCAUCACAAGUGAUAUAAGAACAAAAUCAAAUGAUACAAUCACUCAACUACAACAGACUGUUUAACCAUACAAGAUACUCAUUAACAAUAAAUAUUUCAAAGUUUUAGAUACAAGGUUAAACUGGAUUGUGACCGAUGAAACUCUUCAAAUACCGCAAACACUCAGAAUGUGUUUCUACCUGGUCCACAAGUGAUCUGGGAACCAAAUUCCCAAAAAAUCUGAAAACUGGCAUUAAAGUCUCUGGAAGAAGAAAUCAUCUUUGCCGGUUGAAGUGAGUUUUUUAGUAGAGCGGUUUGUUUUGAUAAUUUGAAGGUUUUGGGUUUGAAUUCAAUAUAUCCUAUAAAAUGAAUACCAAUAUAAUGAAAUGUUUAUUAUCAUGUCUUCUAUCAUGUAGUAAUCGAAAGUUUUAAUCUACUCUAACGACGAGGUGAACAGAAGGUUUAUGCAUGGUUUGUUAUUGUUUGGGUUAAGAUAGGUAUAAGGUUAUGGAUUCUCCACCAUCAACGCCAAUGGUUCCCUGUGUCUUCCUAUUUUGGGUUAUUUGAUAAGCUCUUGCCACUUUCCUCCAGUUGUCUUCCACCAUCUAUACGUCUAGUAAUUACUUUUUGUUUCUGAAUUUUUAUNNNNNNNNNNNNNNNNNNNNNNNNNNNNNNNNNNNNNNNNNNNNNNNNNNNNNNNNNNNNNNNNNNNNNNNNNNNNNNNNNNNNNNNNNNNNNNNNNNNNNNNNNNNNNNNNNNNNNNNNNNNNNNNNNNNNNNNNNNNNNNNNNNNNNNNNNNNNNNNNNNNNNNNNNNNNNNNNNNNNNNNNNNNNNNNNNNNNNNNNNNNNNNNNNNNNNNNNNNNNNNNNNNNNNNNNNNNNNNNNNNNNNNNNNNNNNNNNNNNNNNNNNNNNNNNNNNNNNNNNNNNNNNNNNNNNNNNNNNNNNNNNNNNNNNNNNNNNNNNNNNNNNNNNNNNNNNNNNNNNNNNNNNNNNNNNNNNNNNNNNNNNNNNNNNNNNNNNNNNNNNNNNNNNNNNNNNNNNNNNNNNNNNNNNNNNNNNNNNNNNNNNNNNNNNNNNNNNNNNNNNNNNNNNNNNNNNNNNNNNNNNNNNNNNNNNNNNNNNNNNNNNNNNNNNNNNNCCAAGAGCAAAAUUUAUAAAUAAUAUCAUAUAUUAUAAAUAUUUAAAAAAUCAAGUGUAAGAUAUUAACUUUUACUAUAAUAUGGUUUGCCCCACUAAAACUAAGUAAAGUAAAAUACAAUAUUGCAUAUAUGGUAACAUUAAAUUAGAUGAUUGAUUAUAAAAAUUUAUAUUCCUUUAGUUUAUUAAAAUUUUAAAAAACUACAAAUCAUAUGUGUUCGGUGCUUUUAAUUGAACGAAGGUCUAAUAAUUCACAAAAUCGGAACCGCAAACCUUAAUUCUCACUAACCAUUAAAAUUACAUAUAUAUGGUACCACAAACAUGUGGUACAAAAAAGUAACAAUCUUGCCCAUGUCUGGAUUUGUGGAAAAAAAAAUACCUUUCACUGAUUAUUUUUCCUCAUACGAAUCAAAAUUCUGCAUUUCAAUCUUUUUCACAGAACAAAAAUAAGAAGCAGAGCUGCUCGGCUUCACCCUUUGUUUUAUUCUUCCAAUAUAAAAAAGUCUAACCAAACCAUGCAGAGCUAUUUCGAUCCCAACUCUGAGAGAGAAAGCCAAACCCCACUUCUCUAUAUGUCCUCACUGUGAUUAUCUCCUCCUCUGCCCCCAAUCGGCCCUUUAUUCCAUCUUGCUCAUAUUACUAGCUAUAAGGACUAAGGAGGAAGGAAGAUACAAUGUCCGCUGAAGGAGAAGAUCCUCGUGCCAAAGGAAUCAAAACCAAGAUUCGGGUUGUUCCCAAUUUUCCUAAACCAGGUUCUCACCUAAUUACUCACUCACCCAUCUCUCAGUCUCACUGCUUCUCAUUUCUUUCAGAAUGCAGUGUUCUUGGGAGCAAGGGGCAGCUGUAGAUUGUAUUUGCAGUAAUGGGUUUCCUGCGAUUUGCAGAAAAAGUUGUUGGCAGCUGAACGUUGUCAUGUUGUUGUGUGCAGGGAUUAUGUUUCAGGACAUAACGACUCUGCUGCUGGAUCCAAAAGCAUUCAAAGACACUGUUGAUAUGUUCGUGGAGCGAUACAAGGGGAAGAACAUUUCGGUUGUUGCAGGUAAAUCAAUCCUUACUAUUUUUUUUCAAAUUUUUGCUAUCUGAUAUUAUAAAAGAUUUGAUCUUUUGAGUGGGUGAUGAUGGAGGGAGGUGGUAUCUAGGACCCAGUUUGGCUGCACCGUCAAAUGCACCCACUUCAUAUAAUAUAUUAUACCAGGCUUCUUGUUUGAUAUGAACAUACAUUCUUUUUUAUGGUUUAAUUUACUGUUUUUUUGUAUGCAUCCAGCGCUCGUGUGGUUGUGGUGUUUACUUCUUUACCAUUUAUUACAUGGUUCUUCUGUUCUCACAGUGAAUGGUGAUUGCUUGUUUGACUUUUGAGGGCCUUGGUUGGUAGUACUAGUGGGUGCGCCAUUGAUUGCCUGCUCUGUUUCACAGUGUUUUCUUUUAAGCCCUUUGAGCGGCUUUAAGUUGGGCCUUCUCCUUUCUCUUCUUGCUGUUGUGUUGGUUGUUUGAGCAUGCAUGUGCUGGGAGCUAAUUUGGCUUGGUUUGUUGGUCGUUGAUGUAUGCCCAACCCUUGUUUGAAGGUGACAUGAGUGGACCCUUAUGGUGCUGGUUACUGUUACACCAAAGUUUCUUUUGGCUCUAUUCUAUUUCUAUUAUGGCCUGGUCUCUAUUUGUUUUCAUGUUACUCUCAAGUGGGAUUCUGUGAUUUAGUAGUUGAGAUGCUAUUCCACACACCUCUAUCUGCUUGCUUUUAUGGUUUUAUGUUUCCUCCAGCAACUUGGUAGUGUAAUGUUACUGCUGAUGUGUUAGUUGUCUGUUUUUUGUUCCAGGAAUUGAGGCACGAGGGUUUUUUUUCGGACCUCCAAUUGCGUUGGCUAUCGGUGCCAAAUUCGUCCCUUUAAGGAAGCCAAGGAAGCUGCCGGGUACCUUGAGCUUCACACUCCUCUUCAAUGUUGUUAUAGGCUUACGUUCUCAUCUGUUGAUAGUCUUCCUCACAUAACACUUCACUUAAGUUUGGCCUGGCUUAGCAUGUGGUCAGUAGUUUGGAAUCCAAGAAGAGAUUCUCGAAGUUUCAUUAAUCCGUGUGUUUCUUUUGUGUCCUCAAUCCACAGGUGAAGUAAUAUCGGAAGAGUAUGUACUGGAGUAUGGAAGAGACUGCCUUGAGAUGCAUGUUGGUGCAGUGGAGAAGGGCGAACGUGCGCUGGUGGUUGAUGAUCUGAUUGCUACUGGUGGCACUCUUUGUGCUGCUAUGAAUUUACUCGGUACGUACAGAACCACAAUAGUAGAUGCUCGUUCAGAAUACAUAUGGAUGGAAUCAAACAUGUUCUGAGCUAGUCUGGGAAGGAAGGAUCGAUGAUGCGAACCUGUCGGAGCGUGGUGUUUUGUAACUGGUUAUAGAGUUGGUAGUACACUAGCAGCAUACUCGGAUCUGAGUUUGUUUUUCUUGUAAACAAUCAAUAGUCAUUAACGGUAUUUGAUUUCUUCACUUGCUGUAUUGUCCCUCAGAACGUGCUGGAGCAGAAGUCGUGGAGUGUGCAUGCGUCAUUGAGCUGCCAGAGUUAAAGGUGAGUCCUUUCACUGCCAUAUAGAGAAAUAUGCAGGCGUAGUGAAUCAUUUUCUGUUGUGCCUUAAACUGAAACUGGUUGCCGUAUGGUUCUGCAGGGGAGGGAAAGGUUGCAUCAGAAACCCUUGUACGUACUCGUGGAGUAUCAGUAGGUAUGUGCAUUGUACAGUGUUCGACCAUUGUUGGUUGGUAGUACUGGAGAAGUGGAUUAGCAACGCAAGUAGAGACUCGUUGUUAACCAGAUCGUGGAGCUUGUUUUGGCUCAUUGAUUCCUGCGUUGUAUUGUUCAGUGACUUCAACCUUUUUUCCUAUUAAUUUCUCAAAGUUGCUCUCACUGUAAAAGAUCCAAUGAUGUUAUUUUGCAGAAGAAAAUAAAAAAGCCAGUAGCCAGUGUCUUUAUCAGUUUCCUAGUUCCAAAGCAAAUCCUCUAUCUCUCUUUCACCAUAAAUGUCGACAAGUCAUUUUACAUCUCAGUAGUACUGCUGCAGCCAAACAAGCCCAUAAACAACAACACAGCUUACAGGCCACAAAAUUGAAGUACUGGCAAAUUGCUCAUAGGCUUCAUCAAACCUUACUAGCUACCACUCAAUGAAAUAUAAGGUUUUUUCUUCAUCAGAAAUCGGAUUAACUAAUAAUUCCGAUUAACCCGUAACCCGACUAACUCGUUUGACCCGACUAAUUAAACUUACAUGAAGUAUAUUACUACCAAAUUAACUCGAAACAAGUUUGCCGUAAACCUUGUUUCAUAUUAUUCCCCAGCAAAGAACAUCUAACAACUUGAUGAAUCAAUGCCUCAUUUACUUGUCUCUGUUCCAUUCGUGAUUUCAGAGCGCGCCCGUCUGCUAAAUUUGAGUUGUGUUAAGAUGUUCAAAGGGUGAAUUCAAUUUGGAGAUGUAACAAGAUUUCACUAAGCUCAACUCUGGUUUGCUUUGAAAAGAUGUUGAAUAAGGAGCGUAAGAGGAGAUUACCAGAUAAAGUACAGCAUCGUGUAAAAAAGUAAGGGCAUCUUCUUCGUGACUGAAUAAUUGCAAAUGGUAAAACAAAAUCAGAAGAAAAGCCUGAGAGAUGGACACUCUCAGUAUACAUAUUUCUGGUGCCUAAUCUCAUAAUUACGAAAACCACCGAAAGAAAACGAUUGCAAAUCUAACCCCACUAUCUAUCUCUACACGUAUAUCAUUGCUUUAUCAUUAUUCUUCUCUCAUUUUCAUUCUUGUUUUCUCCUCAUUCAAAGUUAAGCAAAAUAUCGGAAAUACGAAGAUAUCUCGAGUAACUAAUUAUUAGAUCAAUAUCAUGCUUACAUAUAUUACGAACCAAACAACCCCUCCAACUGGGUUUUUUUACAUGACAUGUAUUUGCGACAUCAUUAUUGUUUGUAGAAUUAAUUAUUAAGUAACCUAAAGAUUAUUUGAACCGUGCUAAUUUGAUGAUGCGUUUGUCAAAAAAUUAUGUUAGUUUGGAAGGGAGAAUACUAGACAGAGUAGGCAUGGCUUGGAUCACUAUGCAAUUUAAUCAUCUCUUAGAUUACUAUUUUCAUACAACUUUCACACUUUUUGGGAAUCAUAUUGAAUAGAUAAAUCAAACGAAAUGACCUUUAUAAGAGAAAAAAUGAAAUAAAUAUAACACGAGUGUUUAUAAUCUAUAUGUGAAGUGUGAUUACAUUUGAAUUCGACACCUCCAGGUUUCCAGCCAUACGGCAACCAACUACACUACUCCAUACUAUAAGUGAAUAAUAUAAAUAUCAAUCAGAAUGCAACAAUUCUUUACAUAGUAUAAGAGCUUUAAAUAACCGCAAUAUCUCCGUUUCGAAUCCUAAUAACCCCCAAUCCAUGACACAUGAUUUAUCAAAAUUGUGCAAACCGCAUCUUUUAUGAGAGUUUUCGUUUGAGGAAGCAUGUUAGUGAAUAAUAUAAAUAACUCAAAUUAAUAACAAAAAUUCCAAACAACUCGAGUUAUCAAAAUACGACCAUUUUUAACACUCAGUCAUUAACCAUUUCACAACUCACUUUCCUUCUUCUGAGCCGUUGGAUCACUAGCAUAUGUAAAGUGGCAGUGAUUAAAUGGGGUAAUUAGCAUUAAUGUAGAAUCAGUUUAUGGUUUCAUUAAAAAGGGUGAAACGACCGUUUAAUUUGAUUUGGUUAGCAUUUAUCAGCACAUAAAACAGCCUAAAAUCCGCAAUUAAUUAAGAACAAACAAACAAAAUUGUGUAAAUGCAACCAGUGAAAAAUCCCCCACCAGACAAAAAUAAUAAUAACAGUGAUUUUCCAACUGGCGGUAGUCACCGACACCCCCCGCCGGACCCAGGCAGUAGAACCUCAUCAUCUCGUUCCCGUCCGCCACGCACCUUGCAUUCUCCUCCCACGUCCCUCCGCCUCCUCCCGAAAAUCCGGCCCGGGACUUAACAACUUCCCUGUACUCCUCGAACCGGGUCGAAGUCCGGGACCCGUUCUGCACUUUAAAAAUCAUCUCGAUCCGACCCGAAAACAGCCUCUCGCUCCAGCUGGACUGGAAGAUUAUCUCCACCACGUUCCUCGACGGGUGACCCUCCGGAAGCUCCGUCAAGGCAGGGUAGAGCGACGUCGUUUCCGGAUUGCUCUGCGUGCGGCUAUGACGUCUGGGUUGUUGGGCAGGAAAUGAAUCGGGUCUAGUGUUUGGCUUGGGGUUGAGGUUGGGUUUGUGAGACCUGGAUUUGGGGAGCUUGCGGCGGUGGUGGUGGUUAGCUGCCGAGGAGGAGGAAGUGUCGACGACGUCUUUGAUGUUUCUGGAGCUGUGUCGGCAGCUGGAGCUGGCGAUGAGGUUUCGUGGAGAAGGGCUGAAUACGUCGUCGUAGGCUCUGGACUUGCAUUGGAGAGAUUUCACCCAGGCGGUCGCCAUUUACAGAGGUUGAAAGAUAGAACAGAGAGAUUAGCAAGCUUUUGAAAUCAAAUCAAAUCAAAAGGAUGAAGUGUGAAUGAGAAAGGAAAGAGGAGGUUAGAGGAGUGUUUGGUGAGGGAAGGACAACCGAUGGUUUUCAUUUCUUCUCCCUUUCAUGAUUCUCUGUCUCUUUUCUUUUCUUUCUCUGUCACUUUGUUGGUUAGUUUGCUUUUUUCUGGUUUACUGUGGAUAUUUUCUCUCCCUAGAAAAGCUUCAGCUCAGAAUUUGUUGCGGGGAGGAGGGUAAAAUUGGGAAAGGACAGGAUAAUAAAUGGAGGGCCUGCUGACUGGACACGGCUUUCUGUAAUUUUCCAGUUCUGCCCCCCACACUACUGCUUUAAUUGCCUGGGAUUAAUCUGACACUGCAUCUUAAUUGUCUACCUUCUCACAUAUGAUUAUUAUUAUGCUUGGUCACCAUUUUGACCAGUGAGUUUGAGUGAACCAAUAUUCAGUUCGAGUUGAUUGUUGAUAAACGACCCUAUAUAAAACAAAACGAAGUUCUAUUUGAGAACUGGGCGGCGCCGUAUUAAUGUUUUCUUUAAGGUGGGUGCACGAUUAGGUCAAAUAAUAACGUCGCUCAAAUACAUUUAAUUUUGUUUAGAAAUCGGUUAUUAACCACGAUGGAACCGAUUACUCGAAGUUUGGAGAAGUGAUCUUUCAAAGUUUAGUUUUUAUCAAUAGAAACUCAUAAUUUGAUAUUGUUUUUUACGGAAAAAACGAAAUACCGUUGUUUAUACAUUUCAUAGGCAUUCAUAUUCAUAUUUUACCUUUGUUUUAAGGGACGACUCUCCUACCUAAUUAGAUGAUUUGAUGCCUUAAUACUUGUUCUGUCAUUCAUUAAUAAUAUUUGUCACAUAUAACUUUCAACAAAAAAACCAAUGUUCUAAUAAAAAAAUAAAAAUAUGACAACAAUCGAAUUUGAUAUUUUCAAAUUGUCAUCACACAAAUAUUACCAACUGAGUUGUGGAUUUAAUAUUUUUGUAUAUUUUUUGUUCUUAAAAGUAGUAAAAAAGUAACUGAAUUUAAACCCUGUAUAUUUUUAAAUUACUCAAAUAUGACUAAUCGAGUUAAGAUCCAAUAUUUUUUAUUGAAUAAAUUGAAAUUGUUUCAAAGACAUUAAUUUUCUGCUAAGUUGUUCCGGCGCCGGAACCGUUGCAUGUGCAUGCUUCGUGGCCAUUGUUUAUUUUUUAUUUUUAAAACUAGCGACUCCGGUAUUGCCUAAUAAAUGACAUGUUCCAGGCUAUUAGCUGUUGAUUUGCAGAUAUCAAGUAGUUGAAUUUUUAAUCAUAUUUCAAAUUCUGUAUUAAGUAGAANNNNCUGUAUUAAGUAGAAAAUGAUGGGGGAUUAACUGAUAACUAGAUUUUAGUGGACAGGAAUCUUUUCCCAUAUGGGGUUUAUAUAUAGUGGAAGGAGAGAAUAGAAGAAUGACAAGGGAAUGGAAACUUGGCAGCCAUUGUUUGCAGAGGAAUUCCACUACAAAUAAAGCUCUGAAAUUUAAACUGGUAAAACGACACUUGACAACUUGUAACCAUGCAGUUCUUUGUUCAUGAAUUCUGGACUAUUGUCUCUAUACAAUAAGUUAAGGUCUAAGAUACUCAUAGACCAACCAUUACGUUCCUAACAAGUCACUAGCCAUUUCAAAUAAUAAUAAUAAUAAUAAUAUAAUAUAGUAAAGUUGGGUGGUUCUUUCAUGGAGGGAAUUAGCUUUGCAGUCACACUAGGGGGCAACCACAUUGAUCGUCUCAAACCCUAACUAGACACUACUAAUCUAGAUUUCAUGAUCAAAAUAAUAUAUUAAUUUUUAGUACAAAUAUAUCCUAAUUAACUUGUCAAAAAUUCAAAUUGUUAGAACAUGGAAGGAAGCAAUGUAAAUAAUAGGUUGUUGUAAAUUGUUAAAUGAUAUGGGAUGAUUAUCUAAAAUAUACGAAAGUGUUAUUAAUGACAUCCGUAAAAAUAGAUAUAAUUAAUUGAGAAAUUGAGAAUGAGAAUCCGGAUAGUAACUAAUCCAACCCCGAACCUAGGGCCGGGAAACUGGGGAAAAAUGUUAUUCAAAAUAGGUGUAGUUUAGACCGUGGAUAACUAUUAUAUCCAUCUCCGAUUCAAGGUUAACCGGUCUUCUUUAUACAAAGCGGAGUCAUAUAAUAGAUAUGGUUAUCUAGUUUUCUCAAUUACAAAUAACCGCACACUAUCUGAGCCGUUUCCCGACCCUACCCGAACCCUAGCUCCCUUCCAUUGACAUGCCAGCCUAUGACUACGAGGUGAUCUCCCAUACAAGUUACAACUACAAAGUAUGGGAGCUAGCUAGGUUGGUUUCGGAAAAGGAAAAGACUUUUAAGAAAAGGAGGUGUAGAAUAUGGGUGGAGUGGAGUUUUGCCAGCCUUUGCUGCCACGCCUGGAGAUUCCUUCUGUUUCUUUUCAAUAUCUCAUACUCUCGUUCAUGGUAGAUUCUUAUACGUAACUAUUAAGAGUAGAUCAUUAGUGAGUAACCAGUGUGGAACUAGUAGUCAUAUGCUAAGUUUGGCAGUGUAUUCUCCGCGGGGAACUGUGCGAUUCCACUUGGUGGCGUGCCCUCUUUUUAACAAACCCCACAAAAUUGUUCCACCACUACUACGGCACUAUGCCUCUGUCGGGUUCGAAACUAGAUAGAAGGAGACUUCCUUUUGCAUGGGUUUCUGAGUUUGGAACAUGGGCACACUCUAUAUACUAUUCUUAUGCUCUUGUCUGUUCCUAGGUUUUCUCCUGUGCUCCCAGUUUUUUGGUUGGAUAUGUACAUGUGGAAGUGGAAGUCGAAAUGUGUGUUUGGCUAUUGAAUAACUUACUCUAUUCUUUUUGGGUGAUUUUCAAACGGUAUCUGACUAUUAAACUAUUAACUUUAUCUUCUUUGAGUGGUUUCACAGAAUUCUGAUCGGACUCACAAGAUAAUUUCAAACCAUCAUAAAAUCUUUUCAUGUUGUAGUGUCCAAACGGAUAAUUUGAGACCAAAUUGCCAUCGAAGUCCAAUCACCCGUCCAAACCAAAAGACACUAUUGGAUAAUAUGAACAAGCAUCAUGAGCUAUUAAGUAUAAUUUUUUCCUAUUUAUAUGCACUACAAAUAGCCGGUGCUUUGCUGCAAGAAAUUAUAUAAGCAAUUUUUAUGUAAAAUCGUUGAGGAUGAGAGACCAAAAGAGUACUAGCUCUUGCUUGUGGCAAAAACUUGCAUAGGAAGUAACUGACUUAUUUUUUGCAUACAUGUGGUAGCAAUAGCUAGAAAUCCAAAUUAUAAUUUUUUGUAGUUGAAAGCACAUACAUCCCACUAACAACAAUAGUAAAAAUCCUUUAAAAUGUUUUUAAUUUCAUUUGACUAUUAUUUGAAGGGUUUGACAUGAUGAAAUUUCAAUUUUUAUCUAUUCCGAAUAAGUAUGUCAAAUAUUAGCCAAUUUUAAAAAUUUUCAAUUUUCAUGUCAAAAUUGGUUAAUUUCCGUGUGAUAUACUGAAGAGAUUUUCAAAUUUAAAUUGACUAAUAUUUAAUAUGCGUGUCGUAAAAUGACUAAAAAGUUAAAUUUCAUUAUGAUAAUCCUUGUAAAUAACGAUCUAAUAAAAUUUAAAAAUUAAUUUUACAUAAUAUUAUAUUAAUUUGGAAAAAAAUUCUACUUUCUUAAUCUAAUAAUAACUCUCAUCUUAUAAUAUAUUAUAUAGAAAAUGGAAUAUGUCUCUUGUUAGGUCAGCGACAAAGUGAGUAAUAUUAUAUAAUGCACGUCUAUAGAAUACUAGAAAGUAAACCUUUUUUAGUAAUAUUAUAUGAUGCCGAGUUUUUCUGUCCUUUUUUUGCGUGAGUAGGUGCCCCUUAGUACUAGUAACACCCAUAUUUGCCUGUUAUGAGUGUUUGAGCUCGACUGUUGACAACAUUUGAAUCCACAACCCUCUCUGUAUACGCUGUUGGUUACCUGUCUCUUCAACGUUGCUUUACAACUAAUAAGGUCGGAUACUUGUUUUUUGGAAGUUCAUGUGAAAGGGGUAUACAUGAGAAAGACUGAUGCUUUCCCUGUACAAUAAGGUGGCUCUGCCGAUCUUGAAGAGGAAUUUUGCUGAAAUUGCUAAUUAAAAGCCCUGCGUUAUGUUUGCGGAUAUCAGCAAGGGAUAGGUAAACGCCAAAUCACGGAACGUUGCUGGACUCUUCAGAGCUUAAUUUUACCAUGGGAAAGUGGCUACAUUGAUGUGCUGGUUUCUUCCUUGGGUCUUGCCUUUUGCCCUUCUUCUGAACUUUAUUAUAAAUUUGGCUGCAUAUACUUUUUGGAACUUUGUGCAUGGUACGAGUAGAUGUCAAUUUUCUGACCCAUCAAGGUUUCUCUUCAGGUUAUGGGUUUAAUUUUUUGGCCACUGUCGUUAGAUUCAACAUUUGUAUGGAUUCUUCAUAGUAAACAUGAGAUGUAGUGAGUUGGAGAUUAAUGAAUAGAAGAGUGAAAGGGAAUGUGCAAAGUAGAAUAUUUACCCAAGGGGAGUGUCUACUCUGCAAUUAUAUAUGACAACCUUCUUUCUAGAGUGGUAUCACGAUAGUAUUUGUAGUUUGGAGUGGGCAGUGACUUCAUCCUAGCGGCUAAUAUUAUUUGGUCGAUUCUAACGAUUAAACUUAUGUGAAUAGUUGAGAUAUUGUUCUAGACACUUAGUAUGCCACUGAACGAUAAACUACUUACGGUAAGCUAAGUCUGCUAGUCUGUUGGGCUUGCAAUUGGUCGUUUUGGAGUUUCCCAUUAAGUAACUCAUAUUAUAGUGGAGGAACCAGCGGUGAGCCAAUCUGAGUAACCGGCCAGAGUCUUUUGUUAGGUGCUAUUGGGCCUUCUUACCCCCAAAACUAGCUCAAAAGGUAAUAUUUUCCCUCAUACUUAUAAACAGCACCCAACCCCUUCCACUUUAAAAUGUGGGAUAACCCAACAAUCUAUGAGCGGUCAGUUUUUCAAGCGGUUGACUCGGGUCUCAAGAUCUCGCCCUAAUGGCCCCAUCAUCAAUAUGGUAAGCAGAAUAUGCGAAGAGCUAAGGAUAUAGAAAGUGUGUGAAAUUACUCGUCAUAAUAUGGUGGCGUGCAUGUGUUCAAACAUUGAAAGCUGCUUAUUAAUGAGGUGGGAGUCUGAGCCUGGGGUUAUGAGGUAAAGCAGUCGACGCAGUAGUAGACGGUAACAUUACGUUACUUUCAGGCAUCGUUGUCAAGCUGUAACUUCUGCCUCUUUUGUUUUCUUUCUUUCCAUUGAUUCGUACGCACAGAUACAAAGUCUCUCUCUCUCACCGUGUGUACGACUUGUGUUUUCUUAUCUUUUGGGGCGACUCUAUCAAAUCCUAUGGUAUCAAACAUCCGUUCAUGGAAAUUAUGAUCAAAUUCCUUUCAUUUGAGUAAAUAGGAUAUUCUUUGUGUUGGGGUAUUUUAUAUUGAAAAAUGAAAGGUAUGCAGUGUGCCGUUAUCUAUAAGUACGAGGGAAUGUCUCAUUUAUCAAUUGGACUAGCUUUUGAGUUGAGGAUGCUCGAUAUAUAGCACCAAAUAGCUAGUGGUCUCAAUAGCACCGAAUUAAGAAAAUAGAAGGAGCUAAAUGCAGUUAAUAACACCACGAACUGCAACAAAUUUCAAUGUUUUGACGGUGUGAGAGAUUUGAUAAUGACGAUAUUUGGGGAUGUUUGUCUGCUUCGACCACUCUGAAAUCUAUCUACUCUCUAGUUUCUUCCAUAUCAUGUAAUCUUCAAAUCCACCAUACUCUAGCAAUUAAUGCAUGUGUCUCUAUGUCUCCCUAAAUAAAAACGUGUCACGACAGUUACUAGUUACUAUUUACCUUCCAACUUGCAACUAACUACCUUAGUCACUGACUCACUGUUUUGAUUUUUCUUUUUCCUCUUUGUAAUUGUAUGGAAAGCAAAAAAAUAAAAACGGCAGCCACCAACAUCACUUAACACCGAAUGCACCAGCCCUGGACAGCAAAAAAUAACAGCUCCACCAAAGAUCAGUAUGAACUGAGGACAUCUAAAUAUGGUGUUGCGGUAGGAUGAAAUAAACACAACCAUGCCUCAUAAUAGCUCGUAAACAUAGCACCCCCAACCACUGCCCACGACCCGACUAUGAAUCCUACGCGAGAAGCCACCGCAAGCGACGAGCGUUUUUUGUCUUUGAAUAUUCGAUGGUUCCUUUCAGUCUAGGUCGACCACACUUGUCUAUGCCACACUUGUCAAAGAAAACUCGCACCCUUUGAAGGCACCAGAAGGCAACAUAUGGAGACACCUCACACUCAUAAGUCAUAUCAGUUCAUCACAUAUAUAAAAGAUGGAUAUGAGCUUAUGGGAACAUGCUUGCUUGGUAGCUUUUUGGAUAGUCAUGGCCCAUUGGGCACUCUCCCUCACAGUAUCUCCAUUUUAUAUUGGGCUUUCCUUUUACCCGAAGCCCACAGAAUGAUCCAAUAGGUUUUACGUUAUAUUCUUAAAUUCAAAUCUGAAAUUACUGAACGGCAUCGUUUCCUCCGCUCAUAUCUCUUCCCCAACUACACAGAUUCCAAACGGUAAUCGUUUGCUUUCCUCGAAUCACCAACAAUGGCGGCAGGGCCACCGCUCCUCCGUCACGUCAUCGCCGUAGACGCCGCGAUCUCUCUCUUCCUCCACAAACUCUUCCACCCUCUCCUCCCGACGGCGCUCCUCCUCAUCCUCGAGAUCUCCGCCGACUUCCGAUUCUCCUUCCCUGUCUCCCUCGCCCUUCUCCUCUCCCCUCUUUCCCCGCCGCUCCUCCCUCUCUUCUGCCCUCUCCUCCUCGGCCUCCUCCUCGAUCUCGCCGUCGUCGGACUCACCAAAUCAAUCUUCCGCCGUGCCCGCCCGUCCUACAACCAUUCCUCUAUGUCAGCCGUAGUCGCAAUCGACCACUACUCCUUCCCCAGCGGACAUUCAACAAGAGUCUUCCUCGUCGCCUCGUUGAUCUCUCUCUCAGCUGCUGCGAUCCAGGCCGCUCUGAUCGAGCUGAAGUCUGGCGGAGGAUUAGUCGAGCGGUGGAUCGUCGGGGAGAGAGUGGUGGAGAAUGUGGUGAUUGGUGUUUUUGCUUGGGCGGCGAUCACAGCGUCGUCCAGGGUUGCUCUCGGGCGGCAUUUUUUCUUUGAUGUUGUGGCUGGGUCGUGCUUGGGAGUUGUUGAAGGUUACAUUGCUUUUCGAUUCUUGCGGUUUGAGGAUUUCAUGAGGUAAAAGCUUGCAGCAACAUUGCUAUCUCAAUCGAAAUGCAAAUAGUCCCAAUUUCCUUAGCUGUACUUGUAAUUCGACUUGCACUUGGGAUUUUGGUCAUUCGUUGUUCAUUGGGUUGAAGAAAAGAUUGUUUCUUUACUUUGUCUGCAGCACUUUACUUUAUCAGAAAGUUGGCGAGGCUGCAAGUUGAGUGCUUCUGGAUUUGUUGGCUGGGAAAAUGGGAUGCACCCUCAGUCUGAUGAUCAGUCCUCAUUGAAGUAGAUUGAAGGUUGAGGUAUACUAACUUGAGCAAUUGACUUGGCUUUUCAAGUUUUGGUUACGUUUGCGAUCGGUUUAUUGAACCUUGAAGUUGAAGAAGAUCAUCGUUGUUUAGUUGUGUAUCAUUAUGUAUUCAUUAUCAAGUGUAUAUCGUUUUAACGACCACAGUUGAUCGUUAUAUCGGGACCGCUACAGUUCAAAUAUGUUUGAUUGUUUCACUGUCGUGAAAACUACUACAUUAGUCGACAUGCUCAUUAUGAGCUCAAACCACUUCCUUUCUUCCACUGCUUCUGCUGUUGGUUGAACUUGAGGAAUCCUGAGGAAAAUUUCUGUGUAUGAUGCUUUGUUUCUGUGCCCAGAAGUAAGGUGUGUUCCUCAGGAUUCAUUAGAGGUCAGGAUUCAUUUGGGGGACGGUUCGCUGAAAAACCAUCGGCUAGAAACCCAGCAGACUGAGAAAUAUUCAUUAAAAACAGUACAGGAACGAGAAUGAGAGCGAAAGGUAGGAAUCUUUUGCACGAUUGACAGCAACUCAGUCCACAUUCGUGUGACCGGUGCUCUGUUACCACUUGUCGGCACCGGAUCCCCUCAACUCAUCAACUCCUCCAAUGUGAACCUUAAUUUUUCUCCGAUCGAAAUGGAAUAUGGAAACACUCAAAUGCGAUGUUAUGGCCUUUAAGCUGAGGUUCUCAGACUUCAAGCCUCUCCUGUAUUAUUAGUUUGUAUGAAAAAUAAUUUGGACUGUUGAUUUGUACAAUCCAAGUCUACAUCUUACGGGCUUGCUUCACUUCGUCGAGUGUCUUUCAACUCGAUCGGUACUCCCUGUCUCUGCUUCCGCCGCUAUACGAUCGAAAAAGUGUUUUCAUAUUUUCAUGUGUAUACAAUUCAUUAGUUUGGCAUUAAUUUGGAUAACUUAUAGCUGCAGUAGAAUGUGAAUCCAUAUCAUUCUUUCUGCCAAGCAAUUAUUAGCAUGAUUGGACCUUUAUUUUCUGAACAAUUCCUAAAAGACUGCAUACUUGCAUAUAUCCAUAUAUAAACUUCAAUCAUUAUAUGAAAAGACUUGCUUUAUUUGCCAAUGUGAACAUUUCCUCAAUUUCCUUUUCAAAAAAAAAAUAUCGGCCACAGCCGUGAACUUUAAUCCAUAGCAGUCAUCGAGCUAGGCACAAAAACAAGUUAAACAUCUUUGAAGACAACACUUGCACAGUGGACUCUAGCCUUAUAAGUAAUUCUCCCAAAAACCUUUGUAUUAGAGUCGAUAGGAUUGGGAUUUCGUUUCCUCGAUCCAUUUUUAUUAAUAACUAAGACUUCGUGUCCGCAUUUUUUAAACAUAAAAAUAGUUCUCCCAAAACGGCGAGGGUAGACUUUUGUAUAUGCGGUCGCCAUUUUUACGCCCAAAUUCAACGUUCAUAAUUUCCUUCUUACCCUCUGCAACUUGCCCCUCUUCUGUGGAUAAUCAUUGUCCAAGUUUUACUUUACUGUAUAUUUAAAACUUAACUAGCUGGCAUGGUGAAAGAGUGGAGUGAAAUAAAGCUGUCCCGUAACUAGUUAUUUGGUCGUAUAACUAGUUAUUUCAUAUUCAUUUUUGAGGUCAACACUUUUCGGUGACCGGAUAGCGGACUGCCGUACUCAAUACCGAAGACAUCUCUUUUCUAGUCCAAGUUGAGUUGCGCAGUUGAUAGCCUUGUAUCGACAAUUCAAAUGUAUCGUCUUCCCUGUUGAAUCCAUAAUAUUGAUUUCCUUAAUUGCCAUGUAACUAUGGGUAUGCUGAUGGAUGUACUGAUCAACCGGGGCUCAAUAGAUCCAAAGAUUUUGAUGUUAAUGACAAGUGGAUGUAAACAGUCAAUAUGCGAUUUGGAUCUAUCCCAUAAUUAUUACUUGAAAAGGAAUAAAGAUAGCGUCACUCUGAUGGGUGUGAAACCAAGUGAAAUAUUACCAAACUUGUCCAAAUUGAAAUAUUAUAUUUAUCUGAAUAAAAAUACUUACAUUAGGGUACUGAUCAUUUCCAGUUAGAUUUCGAUAUUUAGGCAAUGUUUCCGCUAUUUUAAGUCCAAUUUCAACCGGAAUUUCAAUCAGAAUGAGACUCAUUACUUUAUACAUUCGGAAAACAUAUGUAGUGGAAUUUUAUCCGCACGGCGUCCAAGAUUUGGAUUGAAUUCCAGCACAUAAAACAUCGACUUACAACACUUUUAGUUACCAACAUAGUUGAUAAGAAUUUCAGACAUACUAUAACUGAGUAAAUCUUUUGUAUCUAUAUGAUCAUAAUUCAAGACAAGAUUUAUACGCAAGGCAUGUGGGAACAUACACUAAUUAAUCCCAUUAACUUCCAAAACUUUGCCUGAAAUUUCCAGGUGUCCUAGUGGACAGCUAAAUCAAGCAACUCCAAUAUUCCUCCUUCCAUCUCACUAUAAAAACCCUACCCAUAGUUCCUUCACAAACCACCCAACUCCCUUUUCUUCUUCUUCUUCGAACUCUUAACAACACUAUCAACAAUGGCUUCCAAAACCAACUCAGCCCUAGCUCUCUUCCUUGCACUCAACCUUCUCUUCUUCUCCAUGGCCUCCGCUUGCGGUGGUGGCUGCCCUACCCCGAAACCAAAACCGAAACCAACUCCCACUCCCACUCCUUCCGGCGGUGGGAAAUGCCCGAUUGAUGCCCUCAAGUUGGGAGUGUGUGCCGACGUGCUUGGCUCACUGUUGAAGCUCAAAAUCGGAAACCCACCGGUCAAGCCUUGUUGCAGUUUGAUUAAUGGACUUGUCGAUCUCGAGGCUGCUGUUUGUCUUUGCACUGCCAUCAAAGCUAACCUUCUCGGGAUCAACCUCAAUGUUCCGCUUUCUCUUAGCUUGCUUCUCAAUGUUUGCGAGAAGAAGGUCCCAUCUGGCUUCCAGUGCCCUUGAGUUUAACCAGGCGUGCUUUAUAAUUAUGCACGAGUGUGUACUCUUUUAUGAGUUUUUAAAUUUGUUGUGGGUUAAGUUGUCGAAGUGUGAGUUUGGGGUUGAUUCAGUUGUGUGAUAUCAGACAUAUGAUCUGUGUGUUUGUAGAUCUAAUAUUCCACUGUUCUGUAUUGUAUGUACUUCGAAUAAUUGAGUUCUUGUUGUGUACCAUGUUCUUUCCGGCUAAUGGCACUGGCGAGGUGAUUAACCUAUAGAAAAGGAACAACAAGGUUUCAGUUAUUGAACGAUAUCAAAGAAAGUGGCAGUCUACUGCACUUGCCCAUUUCACUGCCCAACUAUCCAUUUCACUAUCAUUCUCACUGCACUGCUCAUUUCACAAUGACAGACGAUGAUGCUUCAUUUACCUGUAGAUGAAAGACCAUGAACGCCUACAACAAUGGGCAGCCUGGAGUCGGCAACAACGGAAAGGAUUACCUCUCUCUGGUCCAAACAAACCGAGCCUGUAAGCAACGAUCCAAUACUCGUUCAAUAUGCUUCAUCUUCUUACAAGGCACUUGCUUCUAUCUUGACGCAUGGGCGAGGAUAAAGCCGGAGCACGAUGCCAAACCCUUCACCGCAAGGUUUUCGGUGCAAAAGUUAAUCAAGAGGUAAAAAGCAUUGGUUAACGGACAACAACGAGACAAAAGCACACCCCUGUUUAGAUUACCUCAUGAAGAACAGAGUUGCGCUUCCACUCACCUGACCAAUAACGCUGUAAAUUUUGGAAUUAAGAGUUACUACACAGAAGAAAUCACACAUGAGACUGUCGAGGUGAUCAGAAAUAUUGUGUGGUAUGGCGGUCCAAUAGUUGGUAGGCAUGCGAUAUGUGAAAACUACACCAACACGAGCCGACCUUACCGCACCAACUUUGAGGAAGUUCUACAAAACCUACACCAAUAUUUGGUUGGCUCGUUAGAUGAGACACCACCUUCCAAGUUGCAACAUUACCCAUGCUGAACUACGGGGUGCAGUCGAAAGGUUUGAGUUCAUUUGACAGUUUGGCUUUCGUAAUGUUACUCUGGAGUUUGAUUUGAGAUGUUCUCUCGACCUCCGGGAGGAACAUGCAAUGAUAUGACCACCAACAUGCUGCUUUGCGUGGCAGAUUUCGUGAACUACGUGCUCGAGACCGGCAGCUCAAGCUAGUUCACAUCUACAGAGAGGCUAAUUCCGCUGUUGAUUAUUUAGUUCGUCCGGGUCACUCUAUCUCUUACGGGAUCCACCACAUGACCUCGUACCUUACCGACUUUAUAUGAACAAACCGGUUAUUUCAUGAUCAUUUAUCCCUACUCUAAGACAAAUUUGUACCCACUUCUAUCUGGUUGUCAUUCGUACCAGCAGAUGCUUGUUUUGAAGUUGUUAAUGAUGGAAUAUAUGUUCAUUAUUUGGAGAUGUGAAGAUCAAGCACAUAUUUUAAUAGUUAAUACCGUGUGCAUGUGGACAGCGAUAUGAUUAAUCACGAGACGAGUACUGACAAAUUAAAUUAGUGUAAUCAUGAUCACGAGACAAACAGUAAUAGAAUCAACCUCCCAUAUAUAAUCUAUUCAUGUGUUUACAUAUGAAAAUUUGAAUGCGAUAAAUCUACCUUUGAUUUUUUGGAACCAGAUUAAUUAUACGAUUAAUACCUCUUCAAAUUAAUAGCAUUUUCAUAUCCGUAUUAUUUUAAUAAUUGUUAAGUGAUUUAGAAGAUGAUGUAAUACUUUUUUNNNNNNNNNNNNNNNNNNNNNNNNNNNNNNNNNNNNNNNNNNNNNNNNNNNNNNNNNNNNNNNNNNNNNNNNNNNNNNNNNNNNNNNNNNNNNNNNNNNNNNNNAGAAAUGGGUAAUCAAUUUUUAAAAUGGAAAUUAUCAAAAAAACUAUUAUAUUUACUGUUAUUCUGAUAGAAGUUUGAGAGAAAUCGAAACUAUAAAACUACGCCUAUGUUUAUUAGAACGUAAAGUGCAAAGAAAGAUAAAUUUAAAUAAACAAUUCUUUAUUAGUUAAUUUUUAUAUUUAUAGGGAGUCAUAAAUUGUUACUGUCACAAAAGAAAACUUUUGUAUAAGAAAAUUGUCACCGAAGUUACCUCUUACAUCCUGUUUGUGGCUAUAUAUAAUUAUGAUGUCAUGAUUUGUGGAGUAGAGAAUUGGGGGAUGGUGUUGAAGCGGGAUGUGGGCGGGAUUUAGUGGACGGAGGAAUGGGCUUGAAUGAAUUAUUAUGUAAUGGGCCUGACUCGUUCCCAAGGACACGGAAGGCCGUUGCCCCACAGUUCAAAUAUAUCGGCUACAAUUUGCAUUUUAUUUUCCCAUCUCCUCAACUCCAUUACCAUACCCACAAGCCAAGUUAGAAAAUAAUUGGUAUGGUUGUUCAUGCUUGUUUUGGUGUGUUUGAUCCAUAUACAAAUAUUUUUAAUUUCUCACAAUUCAUUAAGAGAGGAUUCUGAUUGAUAUUUAUGUUAUUUACUAAUAUUUUUCGUCCUCUUAAAUGGAAGCUCUUAUAAUUAGGGAUAAGGUUGGUACAUCUGCGAUAAGGUUGGUACAGCUGCGAUAAGGCAUUUGCACAUAUUUUGUGCUCUACUAUUGGGAUUCAAAACAGAAAUCUCCCGAUUAUGUAAGGCUCUGAUACAAUGUCAUGAUCCGUUGCAUCCCAACAAUAACUCAAGUUAUUGGGAGAAGAUUCUGAUUGAUACCCUCAAACGGAAGCUCUCAUAAGAGUUGAGAUUUGGACAGCUUCGAUAAGUCAUAUGCACAGAGUGGAGCCUAUCGAGAUUCAAAACGGAGACCUCUUCGUCAUGUAUCACUCUAAUAUUAUGUCAUAAAUCGUUUUAUCUCAAUAAUUCAAAUUGCUGAAAAAAAAUUCUGAUUGAUAUUUAUAUAAUUUACUAAGGUUUCCAUACAUAUCAUCACACAUCUUCCUAUCUAUAUAAACCCCUCAGUUCCUCUUCUCUGAAACCACACAAUAGCAUCAUCUAAUAUCUUGUAUUUCACUCUUUCUCACCAUCCUAAAACAACAAAAAAUGGCGUAUUCUACCAAGACAGCAACCCUAGCUCUGUUCCUAGCCCUGAACCUCCUCUGCUUCUCAGCCUCCCCUGCCACUGCCACAGUAGACACAUGCCCGUACGACAUAAUCAGGCUUAGCGUUUGCACUGACCUGCUCGGGUAUCUGCUCAGGAUCAGGAUCGGAACCGCGCCUCCUAGCGCACCCUGCUGCACCCUCAUCACCGGGGUGGCUGAUCUCGACGCUGCUGUUUGUGUUUGCGCUGCCCUCAAAGCCAACGUUCUCGGAACCAUCACUAACCUCAAUCUUGCCCUCACCUUGCUUCUCAAUCAGUGUGGCAGGCCCGUUCCAACCGGCUUCACCUGCGCUUACUGAUCAAUCAAAAAUCGAAAUGCAUGCUUACGUAGUUUGUGUUUGAUGUCAAUUGUAUGGUGCCUAGAGGCAUCGGUUGACGUCUGUAAUGUUCUUAUACUACUAUGAAUAAAUGGAUGAAAAUCAAGCAGUUUAUUACUUUGUCUACAUCUUAUAUAUCAUGCUGUUAGUCUCCGCAAUUUCGAAAAAAAAAUCGACAACAGUUGUAUUGGGUACCAACAAAACUAUCCAUAUGAUAAUCAAAUUAUAUGUAUCAUCCAAAUACAAAGAUGUAAAAAGAGUAAAAGACAUAUUGAAACAAAUACUAUAUAGUUAAUAUUUUUCAUAUCUCAUGCGCAUACUAAAAUACAUACUUAAAAGGAUUAUCCGAGUAUCAAAUUAUAUUGUUAAUACUCUCACACGAUGACAGUUUGUCGAUUUAUGGUCAAGAUCGUAAUUUGAAAAUGCAUCAAAAUAAAAAAGAAUUACGAACUCGAGAAUUUGAACAACUUGAUUGUAUUCCCUAUAUAAUAGGACAACUACAAGCAAAUAGAUUCCAUAUAUANNNNNNNNNNNNNNNNNNNNNNNNNNNNNNNNNNNNNNNNNNNNNNNNNNNNNNNNNNNNNNNNNNNNNNNNNNNNNNNNNNNNNNNNNNNNNNNNNNNNNNNNNNNNNNNNNNNNNNNNNNNNNNNNNNNNNNNNNNNNNNNNNNNNNNNNNNNNNAGGAAUCUCAAAUAGGGAUUAAAAAAUAUGAAAUAAGAAACAAAAUAAUAGGGAUGAAUCAACACAAGUGAACAUGGCAAUUUGUCGGGCUAAAACCAUCUUCAAUAUUAAGUCUCAAAUGGCUAUAUUUGAGUUUUAUAUUUAGCAUUUUAUAUUUUUCAAAAGAUAUUAUAUGCUUGAUAGAUAUGUUUGUGCUGUUACGGAUAUUUAUGGAGAUUAGAUGAAAAGUUAUUGUAAUUAUAAAUAUUAAAUUUUAUUUUAUAACAUAUUAUAAUUAUUUAGUCCCAACUUUAGCCAAUAUAGAACAAAAAAUUAUAUUUUUAAAGCAUUUAAAACUUUAGUCUUAUACAUUAAAAAAAUUUAAUUUUAUAAUUUAGCUAUUUAAUCAUUUAAGCCUUGGAGAUGAUCUAAUAAACACAAAGUACCAAAGGUUGGCACAAAAAUUGAUGUGUCUUUUUCCAGAUGUACAGCUACAACAAAUCUGGAUCCUUUCUCAUCCUUUCUCAAUUCCCCAAAUUACCCCUCACUCGAGCACUAUAAAACCAACCCUUUCCCUCACUCACUUCCCUCACACCAAUCCCACAGUAGUAAACAUAGCAGCAAUGGCUUCCAAUGCCAACUCAACCAUUGCUCUGUUCCUAGUCCUCAACGUUCUCUUCUUCACCAUGGUCUCAGCCACACACAAUGGCUGCCCACCUCCCCCGCCGAAACCAACCGACUGCCCGCCUUCCCCAUCCAAACCGAAACCAACCCCUUCCUCCGCGAAAUGCCCCGUUGACACCCUGAAAUUGGGAGUGUGUGGCAAUGUUUUGGGCUCAUUGCUCAAGAUCAAGAUCGGGGACCCACCGGUCAAGCCUUGCUGUAGUUUGAUAGAAGGGCUAGUCGAUCUCGAGGCUGCUGUUUGCCUUUGCACCGCCAUUAAGGCCAACAUUCUCGGGAUCCACCUCAAUGUUCCGGUUUCUCUUAGCUUGCUUCUCAAUGUUUGCAGCAAGAAGGUUCCGUCCGGAUUCCAGUGCCCCUAGAUUGAUUAUGAGAACUAUUGAACUAUUUUAUGUUUCGGUUCAUUGAUCAUGAACUUAUUAUUUGGAGUUUUUGGGGCUUGGUUGUUGAAGUUGUCAAAGUGUUCAUUUCUGAGGUAACACAUAUGUUAUCUAGUUUGUAUCUGGUGAUUUCUUAUUCUUCGAUUGUGUGUACUAUGAAAGGUUGAUUUAAGUUGUGUACUAUUGGGAAAAGGUGGAAAUGAUAGGUUUGAUUGUUCUUAAU
rnacentral:lncRNA from 1 species